CUUCCUCUCUCGUAAGUUCCUAGAUGCAGAUUUUGAUCUCUCUUUUUCUCAUCUUAUUCUCUUCCUUUCCUUCGUUUCCGAUAAUAUUUCUGAUUUGUGGUGAUAGUAGCGGCGGCAUGAGAUGGUGGAGCGUACCAUGGAAGACGACGGCGGAGGAUGGCUAGACGAGCGAAAGAUUUUCUCAGGGUGUGAGGUCAAAGAUUUAGUCUAAUCUCCGCACUGUGUGCUCAACAAAAAAGCUGUUGAAGGUCGAUGUAGAAGAUUGAGAUGCAUCAGUUGGAUUGAGAUAUCUACAGCAUAUAACAACACCAUCACUGGUCAUCACCAGAUUGAGAUGCGUCAAUUGGAGACAGAAUAGAGUAAGACAUCGAGAAGAAAGAGGCAAAGGAGGAGGGGGCGGACAGUAGCAGAGAGAUUAGGUUUAGAGUUAGUUUUUUUAGAGUUAAUUAGGGUGUUCUGGUUUUUGGUUUAUGUGUUCUGGUUUUUGGUUUAAUGUGUGCUGGUUUAGUUUUGUAAAACUAAUUUUAUUUGUAAAUUGAUUUUAAUUAACACAUAUAAUUCAAUUUUAAAUUUGGAUUAA